GGGGCCGAAAGACGAGGCAGGCCCUCUAGGCUGCUGGGGAGACCGGAAAGGGGGCCUGGACCUUCCGGUCCCCCUGGGCCGCAGCCCCAGAGUAUGGCUGACCUGGCGCGCACGCGGCACCACCUCAGCGCUGUGAGGCAGGAUGGGGACACAGGGAGGGAAGAGGGGGCCAGACGGCAAGAGCGAGCUCUAGACUACCGGGAAACUAGACCCUGACCUAGGCGUAACUGGGAGGCUAUCCCUCGGUCCUUGGCCGACCUGCGGCGCAGACAGCUCAGCCCAGCGCCGCUCGCGGCAGGGGCGGGGCCGCUGAGCUGGCCCGCUGAGCUGGCCCGAGCGGAUUUGCCCAGGCUCGGCCGGGGGGUGGGGUCUGCCCCUCCCAGCGACGACUAGUCACGCCCCCGUAUCCACCGCCCCUGGGCCCCGCAGGAAAUAGGGGCGGGCCCCGGCCUACAGUGGCGGGAGGGGGAGCAGGGAUGCAGCGGAGGGCCAAGUCCGGGAGGGCUUGGCUGCGGGGGAAUGAAGCCUCCGCCUUCUCGGGUGGAAACCCUUAAAUACAGGCUCGGGCCCGGGACUCGGGGUGCGGCGCUUGGCAGCCCGAGAGGGGUGUGCGGUGAGGGGAGAUCAGACGGAGCAGGGCCAGAGUGCUGGAGCUGCGGCUGCGCGGCCCAGAGCGAGGAGCUGUCCGAGCGGUCGGGGUUGGAGCGAUUACCGCUCUCUGUGCCUGGAAGUGGUACCAUCAUGUUUGAAAUUAAGAAGAUCUGCUGCAUCGGUGCAGGCUAUGUUGGAGGACCCACAUGUAGUGUCAUUGCUCAUAUGUGCCCUGAAAUCAGGGUAACAGUUGUUGAUGUCAAUGAAUCAAGAAUCAAUGCAUGGAACUCUCCUACACUUCCUAUUUAUGAGCCAGGACUAAAAGAAGUGGUAGAAUCCUGUCGAGGAAAAAAUCUAUUUUUUUCUACCAAUAUUGAUGAUGCCAUUAAAGAAGCUGAUCUUGUAUUUAUUUCUGUGAACACUCCAACUAAGACCUACGGAAUGGGGAAAGGCCGUGCAGCAGAUCUGAAGUACAUUGAAGCUUGUGCUAGACGCAUUGUGCAAAACUCAUACGGGUACAAAAUUGUGACUGAGAAAAGCACAGUCCCAGUGCGGGCAGCAGAGAGUAUUCGUCGAAUAUUUGAUGCAAACACAAAACCUAACUUGAAUUUACAGGUGCUGUCCAACCCUGAGUUCUUGGCAGAAGGAACGGCCAUCAAGGACCUGAAGAACCCAGACAGAGUACUGAUUGGAGGGGAUGAAACCCCAGAGGGUCAGAGAGCUGUGCAGGCACUGUGUGCUGUGUAUGAGCACUGGGUUCCCAGAGAAAAGAUCCUCACCACUAAUACUUGGUCUUCAGAACUUUCUAAACUGGCAGCAAAUGCUUUUCUAGCACAGAGAAUCAGUAGCAUUAACUCUAUAAGUGCCCUCUGUGAAGCAACAGGAGCUGAUAUAGAAGAGGUGGCAACAGCCAUUGGAAUGGACCAGAGAAUUGGAAAUAAGUUUCUGAAAGCCAGUGUUGGUUUUGGUGGGAGUUGCUUUCAAAAGGAUGUUCUGAAUUUGGUUUAUCUCUGUGAGGCUCUAAAUUUGCCCGAAGUAGCUCGUUAUUGGCAGCAGGUCAUAGACAUGAAUGACUACCAGAGAAGGAGGUUUGCUUCCCGGAUUAUAGACAGUCUGUUUAAUACAGUGACUGAUAAGAAGAUAGCUAUUUUGGGGUUUGCAUUCAAAAAGGACACCGGUGAUACGAGAGAGUCGUCUAGUAUAUAUAUUAGCAAAUAUUUGAUGGAUGAAGGCGCACACCUCCAUAUAUAUGAUCCAAAAGUACCAAGGGAACAAAUAGUUGUGGAUCUUUCUCAUCCAGGAGUUUCAGAGGAUGACCAAGUGGCCCGGCUGGUGACCAUUUCCAAGGACCCCUAUGAAGCAUGUGAUGGUGCCCAUGCUGUUGUGAUUUGCACUGAAUGGGACAUGUUUAAGGAACUGGACUAUGAACGCAUUCAUAAAAAAAUGCUGAAGCCAGCCUUUAUCUUUGAUGGACGACGUGUCCUGGAUGGGCUCCACAAUGAACUACAAACCAUUGGCUUCCAGAUUGAAACAAUUGGCAAAAAGGUGUCUUCAAAGAGAAUUCCAUAUGCACCUUCUGGUGAAAUUCCAAAGUUUAGUCUUCAGGAUCUACCCAACAAGAAACCCAGAGUAUAGACAUUGCCAUUUUUAUUUGUAAUUUUUUUGGUACUUCAGGAUAGCAAAUAUCUAUCUGAUAUUAAAUGGUAGAUGAAUCAAGUGCUUUUAAGGAAACAAAACUAUUUUUUUAAUAAUCAAAUUUAUACUAGCUGUAUGGGAAUUAGCAUAUCUGGUAAUUAUGAAACUAGAAUAUUUUUUACGUAUUUUUAUAAUAUUGUUACCUCAGUGAUUGGAUGCAUAGCAAAUAAUUGUGUUGGUUUUAAUGGUGUCAAUUUUUGUAAAAUUAAACUUCAAACACUUUUUACUUUAUAAAAUGUCUUUAGGCAGCACUUGAAUAUCACAUUGUAAUGGGAAUGGCAUGCUUCAGUUUUUCUGAUCAUUGGUUUAUCUACUUGUCCUUAAGUAUGUAUUUUAAACCAUGAAAUGACUAUGCUAAAUAUUGGGCUAAACCUGUUAACCUUUCCAAAAGUGUCAUGGAAGUUUAGAGCUUUCUGGGUUAAUUGGGUAAGAUGUUUUCCAUGCCAUUUCUUGUCUCUCUGAACUGAGGAGCAUGCAAUGGACAGAAUGUGGCCUUUGAGCUUUUUUUUUCCUAUGCUUCCAUGUUAGAAGUAACCCUACAAGUAUGGUUUGGUUAUUGUUCUUUUGUUCCUUUUGUUUUAAUGAGCUGUGUUGUUGGUUUUCUAGUCCAAAAAGAUCAUCACUGCCCACUUCCAAUCAAUCCAAAUAAGACUAAAAGGCAAUAUUUUUUUUAACAUGAAGAGAAAAUCAGUGUAGUGAAAUGAAAAUCUAUUUCACCCCACUUCUUGUUUUUCCUCACUGAUCACUAUGUUUUUUUAGUCCAAUAUUUGUUACUUUUACUUUGCAUUUUCUUCCUGUAACUCAUUGCAAUUUCUCCCUUUUUCUUUAAGUAAUAAAACCAAUAUAAACUUAAAGAAGUAGAUUUUACAAGUUAUGUAUAGCAUAAUCCUAAAAUAGGGAAUUUUGUGUCUUCAACUACUUUUUUUCUUAUGUCUCUUUGACUUAUAUUUGAUUUUCUCUUGUGUUUAUCAUUAUUGAAAUGUGUCAGAUGUCCAUUUGAUGCUUGUGCUCUGCUGAGCGUAUACAAAUUGAGUUAAACAGUCUCAUCCUUUAGGAAUUUUGCAGUUCAAUAAGGAUACAGAGACAAAGAUGAGGACAGAGACACCUAUAGAGGCUUAUUCCCUGGUGGCCUAGUGGUUAGGAUUCCAGGAUUUCGCUGCCGUGGCCCGGGUUCAAUCCCUGGUUGGGGAACUGAGAGCCCACAAACUGCACAGGGGACGUGGGUUCGAUCCCAUGUCGGGGAACUAAGAUCCCACAUGCCGUGGGGCAACUAAGUCCGCGCCGCAGCUACUGAGCCUGCGCCACAACUAGAGAGCCCGUGUGCUGCAACUACUGAGCCUGCGUGCUCUAGAGCCUGUGCGCCACAACUAGAGAGAGGCCUGCACGCCACAACGAAGAUCCUGCGUGCCGCAACUAAGACCCAAUGCAGCCAAAUAAAUA